CAUCCUCCACUCAGAAAGUAGAUGAAUGUGAACAAGUUCCUGGAUAACAAGCCUAAGGGUUUUCUUAUUGAUAAUAGUGACGAUAGUGACGAUAUUGACCGUGACCUUGAUAUGGAACUAGAGCUUCUAACUAUGAUGAAUAUGCUAACUAUGGAUAUGAUGCCAGAAAUAGACCGAUUUUAUAUCACCUUUCACUUCGAAUUAGCAAAAGCAAUGUCUCCUUGCAUAAUAUGGAUUCCUAACAUUCAUGAUCUGGAUGUGACUGAGUCGAAUUACUUAUCCCUCGGUCUUUUAGUGAACUAUCUCUCCAGGGAUUGUGAAAGAUGUUCCACUAAAAAUAUUCUUGUUAUUGCUCUCUCUCUUGCAGAGGUUCUUCUUCUGGCGUGUUUUUCCUUGGUUGUGUCGUAGAAGAAAAGGGUAUUGCUUUCGCGGGUUUGUGUUGGUGUUCGCUCCUUCCCUUGCAAGGUGGGCUUUUGAAACGUGCGUUUUGGGUGUCAGGUGUUUCGAUUGGAAGGCAUUGUAGUGUUUCAGCAUUGGAAGUGGAAUCCAUUGAAGUAGGAGCAUGUUUUAGUUUUAAAAAUGCAGAAAUCUAUGGGAAGUUGAAGAGAUUGUAGUCCCAUGUGAUUAUCAUUUUCUAUUAUUACAUUGGCGGAGGUCAGAAAUUGUUACUCCCACUUUGGUUUCUUAGUGAUGUGGAGGGUGGAAAGCAAGGAUUUCAAGAUCACAUGGACUUGUCUCAUUAUAUAGGAGGUAGAAUUUCAGUACUUGUGCACAUUUCUUCGUUACGUCACAAUGGUUAAACGAAAGCUUCCAAAACUAGUUGACAACAAGGUAAGUUUGAAUUUCUUACGAAAUUUUUGUCAUGAUAUGAAACUAUAUUUUUUGUUGAAUUAAAAAUGAAUUUUUAUUUUAUGAAAUGUUAUUUUAUAGAUUCGGGUCCAUGAUUUUGUUAAAACAUAAUAUAUUGUUCACUUGAAUUGUUUAUUAAGAGAUAUACAUCGUUCAAAAGUAGAAAAUACACCUUUCAAAUGGUGUUUGCAAAUGGAAAAGCUUCUGAAUAUCUCAAAAUUGUUGUUGAUGGAGAUGCUAAGGAGAUGGGUUCCAGAAUUUAAAGGGUUUCGUGUAAUGCAAAACCUAGUCUCACUUAGGUGUGUUGAUGUUUGUAUGUGCUUCGGAUUAAGUGUAGUAGGUGAUCAAGUUCAAUUUGAUGACGAAAUAUGUGGGAAGUUGGGUCAUUGUUUGAUGGUGAGGCAGCAACAAUUAAAACUAUAACUAUGAAGAUGAGAUCCAUGCUAAGUAGCGAUGAGGUGGAUGAUGUGGAUGGUGUUUAUCGGUUAUAUAUAUAUUGAUGUGUUUUGUUGUUUAAUUUUUUCCCAAUACCUCUAGUAGAAUAAGAGCAUUACCUUUCAAAUUGCUGGAUAACAUCGCAUCACUAAGCAACUACAAUUGGGGUGGUGUCGUUUAUACUUUCUUGAUUGAAGUCAUAAGUCGGUCAUAUGAGGUUUAUGUGCAACAACAAAACAAGCAUGCCAUUAGCAUAAUUGGAGCAGUUCCAAUGAUGCAGGUUUGGUUUGUGGAACAUCUUUUCUCAGGUCCUGUUGAACGGGUUUGUUGUUUCCCCAGAAUUUUGGAAUGGCCAUCUCUAACCAUAAGGAAGGACAGGGAACAUUGAGUUUGCCUUUGAAAAUAAUCAGGUUUUUAAUGUCCAUCUUCAAUUAUAGUGAUUUACAAUCUUCUUAAAUACUUUAUGUGAUUAGCUUUAAUCAUAUUUAUCAACAUCCAAUUUUGUCUAGGUGAAUAAAUUUAUUUUUGUUAAAAAAAAUAAAAAUUAAAAAAAUGUUUUAGUUAAUGGUAAACAAAAAAAAGGUAAAAUAAGAUUUUCUUCAAAGAUUUUCAAACUUUAAUUUUAGGAAAAAAAAAGAAAAAAAGAAGGAAGGAAGAGCCCAAUUUGUUUUUAAUUAUCAUACUCUUUUUCUUGAGUCCAACAACUCAACCUAUCUUCUACCCUUUAUUCUGAUAGAGAAAUUAGUGAUAUAAUUCUAAUAAUUCAAAGCAAUAUCUCUUAAUAUAAUUAGAAUCAAUAUUACUAAUUGGGAUUGAUUUUGUGCUCUGAUUUAUUAAUGGUUAGAAUCAUUAUUAUUGAUCUUUUUUGAUAUUGUCCUCUGAUUUGCUAUGAUUUGAUUCCCAUAAUGUAUUGCUAUCAUGACCAAUUCCUUCUUUAUAUUAUUCUUUACAAUUAAGGCUAGGAUUACAUUGAUAUUGUAAUGUGUGAAUAUAAAUAGACAGUCUGUCACAUGAAAAGGGAUCGAAAGAGAAGAAGAAAACAUUCUCUACUCCUACUCUCUCCUUCUCAUUACCAUCCACAAAGACACACCUCUUUUAUUAUCUCUCUUGACAAAAAAAAUUAGAAAAGAAGGCAAGAAAAUAAGAAGAAGAGAAAAGGUAGUUAUAAUAUACAAAAUAAGAUGGUGAGAUUGAUACAAGAGAAGCGGGAUUGAAAAGUAUAGAAGGUAUGUUGUUGUCAUUAUCUUCUUUUAUUUAUUCAUUCCCUUCUUCUUAUAAUAUUAUCUUUUAAUAUUGAAUGCGUUUUUAUUUUACACCUAACUUCGAUCUUUUCCUUAAGAGAUAUUAUUUUCUACUGUUCAUAAAUAUUUUAUUUUAAAAAUCAUAAAAAAUAGUUUUCUUCGUUUCUUUUAGUGUCUGUCAGGUUGUUCGCGUCGCGUGACACCAAUUUUUCAAAUUUCUUUUUCUAAAAAAAUAUAAAAAAAUUUAAAGAAUUAAAGAUAAAAAACAAUUUUCUUUGUUUACUCUUUGUGUUUGUCCGGCCGCUCGCGUCGCAUGACAUUCAUUUCUAAAUAAUUAAAAAUACCAAAAAAACAUAAAAAAAUUUCAAAAUUCACUAAAUAAAAGUCAAAUCUUUUCUUGUAUAGUUUUUUCACAAAAAAUUACGUAACCCUGAUUCUCCAUUAUAAAUGAAGAUACGUAUGAGCGAUGAUUAAUCCUUGUGGGGCUACAAAAACCAAAAAAAAAUUAUUUUUGUUUAUUUUGUAAAUUCAUUUAUUAUUAUUUUCGGAGAAACCACAUCCUUUGGCACGUUUAAUUAAAGGUACCAUCUUAGGACGAGUGUUGUGGGGUGCUAAUACCUUCCCCAUGUGUAAUCGACUCCCGGACCCAAAAUCUCAUUUUUUGCAGACUUUCUCUUAUCAUUUUGGUUUUUUCGUAGUUUUCCAGGAUAAACUAUGGUGACGACUCUAAACUCUGUUUUUUUUCAAAUUUUAUUUUUGGUUCGUCGUCGCAUCGUGAUUUCGGUUGCGACAGAUGGCGACUCUACUAGGGACGCUAUAAAGUCAGGCGAUUUAUUUGGAUGUGCAAAAUUGAUGUGAUUUUUCAUCAUAUUUUUUUUCUUUUUGGGUAUGAAUAUUCUUGUCUCUUUUUUAUAUUUCGAAUACUUGUAUUUGUAUAUUUUCCUUUUUUUAAAUAUUGCUAGAUAUUGAAUUUUAGGGCAAACAAUAUUGUUAUAUAUCUUCCUGUAACUUUUUUGGUUGUUGGGGGGGAUUGGGUAUAAAUUGCAUUCUCCCUUCACACACACUUUGUUCAUUACAUGAGUGGGGCCCUAUCUGAGUUGCUUAGAAUUAGAGAAGAUUGUGUAGUAGUGCCACGAUGAAUGUACUUCCCAAGUGGUCAUUGUGAGAAUCCCAGCUAGAGUUUGUUUACUUCAUUGGUACUCUCACUUCUUGUUGUUUACCAAUUGUCGUGGGAAAUUCCAUGAAGUGGGCCAUAGCUCUAGUGACCUUGAUCUUUAAGUAUUAGGGAACUAUCCUUGUGAGCAUAUAUAGUUUGCCUUAGAACUUUAAACUUUAAGUUUCGAACCUCGAUUAAGGCACAAAAGGGAGACCAUUUGCAUCCUUUACCAUCAAUUUUUCUUGUAUAUAGUAAUAAAUCUAUCACAUUUUUUUGCCUCCUAAGGUAUAAGGAUAUAUUUCAUUAGUAUAUAAUGUGAAUAAGUGCCUAGUGAGGCAUAACCAUGCAUUGCAUUUCAUUUUGUGGUCAUUCAUGGUACUCUGUCCAUAGUUUCAAACACAUAGCAUGCAUAUGCAUAAUAAAAAAAAAAUCUAAAAAAAAAUUGCACUGCAAUAAAUUAAAUUUUUUUCCCAUUUUUAUCAAAUUUUUGUUAUCUUUGUUAGGGAAAUGAGAAAAUAAUGAAACAUUUUGUCAAAUCAGUGCAUGAAUAAAUAAAUGAAAUUAAUAUUUAAUAACAUUUCUUUUGAAGCAUUAAUCUAAUCUACAUGCAUGAGAUUGCUCAAGUCCAUCUCCCUUUCUAUCUUUCUUCCACCAUAAAAUUUGUUUUCAAUUCCAUGGAGGAUUAUCAUAAAGGGGACACAUACCUUAAAAUGAUUACCAGAAAUUCUCUAAACACAAAAAAACAAAAAAAAAAUGAAGAAAAAUCAACUAGACUGAAAACUCUGAAGGACAGUCUAGGCAAAAAAAUAAGACAAGAAAAGUGAGAAAAACGAAUAUAACAAAACAAGGGGUAUCCUGUCACAUGAAAUCAAUUAUUUUCCUGUGAAUUAAAUUUUUUUGAGAAAAACAAUCAUGAUUCGAAAUGAUGUGUGGCCAUGUUUCUUUAUACAAAAAAAUUAUCCUUUGCUACCCAAUUUGAACCUUCAAAAAAAAAAAAAAAACUCUUUCAAAUUACCCUAAAAAAGGGUCACCAUCACACUAAGGGUUGACAUAAUGUUUGCAUUUGUUUCAUUUGACUAGUAGUUCACCAGUACAAAAAUAUCAAAAAAUAAAAAAGAAAUGGUUACAUUAAGAAAAGAAAAAGAGAAGCAAAAGGUGAACAAGAAGAAGUCAAACAAAUAUUGAAUGAAACAUUAUUCAAAGAUCUUUGUUUGAAACAACCUUCACAUCACUUGUUUGGGCCUUUACUAUCAUUUAGUUCCAUACCCCUAGCAUUGGUCAUGAGACAAGCCUAAUAAAGUCCACACAGAUAAAAGAUUGGUUGUUAAUCUUUCAAAGAUUUUAAUUCAGAGGAAAAUUUUGAUUAGUUAAUAGGUUUGUUCUAAAAAAAUAAAAAAAGAUUAAAAAAGCGAGUUUAGGAAAUUAAGCUAAAUUUUGGUUGUCCCCUUUCAACUCAUUCUUCAUGAAAUUCCAUCUUUGCUCAUAUAGUAUCCUCCGUUCUAAGCCUAAACCUGACCAACCUUAAGAUAGUCUAUCUUUAACAAUCCCAAACUCAAACUGAGCAAUCAUUUUGUUUGUAAUUCAUAUAUUCUCAUCAUUCAUUCUGAAUUGGGACAUUUAUUUACGUUGAAGACUGUGAUCACAUUAGGGGAAACUUGUGAAGACCCUGUCUUUUUUUCAAUCUCCUCAGUUGGGAAAAGUCAAACAUGCUUUUACACCCUAAGACCAUCCCAAGCUCUCACACUAAGGGAAAUUUUUAAAGUCCCUAUCAUUUCCUUCAUACCAUCAAUAAUUAGGGAAAGGUCAAACAUAUUUUAUGCCCCGAAACUAGUUCAAAUUGGGGCAACUUCCUAGUUAAUCUUCAUCUUCUCAUUCGAGCCUUUUCAAGCCCUUGGCAAUUUCAUGCAUGUUAUUUCAAAUAGUGUUUCAAAAGAAAUGAUUAAAAAAAGUUCGUUAGUAAACUGAUUAGACUAAAGAAAUGAUUUGGAAAAGUAAAAAAAUAUCAAAGUAGAAUGAUGGCCAGACAAAAGUGGUAAAAAUAACAAUGCAAUGAGAAUCAAUUUGAAUUUGUUUUCAAAAAAUUAAAAAAAGAUGGCCAGACAAAAGUGGUAAAUAAAACUCUUGUUUUGGAAGUUCUUGUAGGGUAAGUUUGGUACAAAGCUUCUAUUUUCUACAACUCGUCAUCCUCAAAUAGAUGGCCAGACAAAAGUGGUAAAUAGAACUCUUUCGCAACUCUUUAGAUGUUUUUUAAACAAAAUUAGAAAACUUUGGAGGAGUGGUUACCUCAUGUGGAUUUUUCUUAUAAUAGGGUAGUUCAUUCCACUACUCAGAUGUCUCCUUUUGAGAUAGUAUAUGGUUUUAAUCAUUUAACUCCAUUAGAUUUGUUACCUUUACCUGAUAUUAGUUUAGGGUUUAGGGUUUAGGGUUUAGGUUUUAUGACUAACAUAGAUGGACUUGCCAAAACAACUUUUGUCAGGAACUUGCAUAAAGAGGUAAAGGCCCAAAUAGAAAAGAAGAUGGAGAAGUUAGCCUCUAGAGCUAACCCAGGGAGGAAGCAGAUCAAGUUUGAACCUAGCGAUUGGGUGUGGGUUCACUUUAGGAAGGAGAUAUUUCCUUUUAAAAGGAAAUCUAAACUUUUACCAAGAGGAUAUUGACCAUUUCAAGUUCCUUAAAAGAUCAAUGGCAAUGCCUAUGUUGUUGAUCUACCUAAAGAUUAUGGGGUAAGCUCUAGUUUCAAUAUUAAUGAUAGAGGACUAUCCCUAGAUUCCAUACAAGAAGAACUUGAAAAUGAACCUUUACAAUUCAAAGGACCUAUGAGAAAGGCAAGGAGCAAGAGAUUUGAAAGUCAAAUCUAUUCAAGGCUCUUGAUGCUAUAAGCAUUUGUAAGAGGAAAUUCAAAGGAUAUGAAGAUCAUGGCUUAGAGGACUUUUGAAGGAUAGUUAUUAGGAAAUUAGUUUAUAUUUUUAGACUUUGAAUUUUCUUUUAGAAAUUAGUUUAUGUUUUAUGUUUUGGGCUUGGGCCUCCUUGUAAGGUUCUCAAGUUUUCUUAAACUUAUAUGCCUAUAUAUAGAGGUACCAAAACUAAUGUAGACACUUUUAAACAUAUAUUGAAUUUUAUUUCAUUAAAGAGCCGAUUCUCUUUGUUCUUGGCUUAGGGCCUCUGAUUCUUAUCAAAGAUUAACAUCUUUGUGGCGAAUCUUCACUUGACUUAUCAAUCUACUAGACUGUGACGUCCUCCAUCUCUGUCGUAUGUCGCGUUCUUCUCUAACUUAUUCAUGUCUACCUCUUGAGAAUUCAAAUUCAGAAACGAUCAAACUCUUUCCUGGAUAGGAUCGUAUCAAUUGUUAUAUAUGAACUUGGGAUUUGUACUUUUUUUAAGGAAAUUGGACUUCUUGAUGACUUCAACUACUGACACUAUAGGAAAAUUUACAAUAAAUCAAGGAGAAAUACAUUUAUCAAUGAACUAUAGAUGAAGAUAACAUCUACAGAGACUAUGUACUUAAGCACUUCACUAUUAGGAAUCCUACCCAAUGAUAAGGUAUGUUUGUAUUGUGUUGUGUUGUAGUGAACCUCAUACUUUUGUUUCAAACUUUUGUGAAGUACAUUAUGGAGGGUGCAAUUUUUGUGAGGUAUAGGGAGCAAUAAAAUAUUGUUUUGUGGUUUAACAACCUUGUAAAAAAUCAUUAACUUAUGUAGACUACAUAUAUUGGAUAUACACUUAUCUAUCUUUGACAGGUUUAUUAAAGCAUGUGAUACAAGCAACUAAAGAUGUCGAAUAAAAACAUCCAUUUUAGUGCAAAAACUUUAUGUGUUUGCCACUUAUUUUGACUGUUUCCUACAUAUUUUUUGAAAUUAAUUUUUAAUCAUUUUGAAUUAACAUAACCUCUUUGUAAGUGAUGGGGAAACCCACACCUUAGACUGUCGGAAAAAGGGGACAUGCCCAUAUCAGGCAACCAAACUACAAAGUAAAAAACCUUGUGAUUAAUUCACUAAUUAUAAUUUUGCACAAAAUAAUUCAUUUUGUUUGCCAAAUUAUCCAAAAACAUUUGCCACAUAUGCAUAAUAUACUGAUGUCAACUGCACAAAAUACUUUGUGAAUAAAUUAACUACAUGUAAGUUUGUGCAUAAACUUUAGAGGCGUUUGGCACUUAAUUACACAACGUAGAAUAAUUUAUUUUUUAACAAAAUUUUUUAUUUCUUUUAUGUCUUAAACCAUGUCCAUUUAAAGCUAUAGGUAAACCCUCCAACACAAAACCUUUGUGCAAGUGCACAAAUAGUUGUCACCUAUGCCAAGUACUGUUUCAAAUAACUGGUAUAAAAAUAAUAGACUAUUUAACUGUCCCAAAAGUAGGACAUUGUUUGGCACUUAAUUGCACUAUGUUCAAUAUUUAGUAGUUAAACAUUGCCUUUACCAUAAUUUUUCACAUCAUAUGAUUCCACGGAUCUGUAUUGUGUCCACUGUUAACUCUACAUAAGAAUAAUUAUAUCAGUAAACACCAAUAACAUACGUCCAUCCUACAUUUAAUGUUUUUUGUAAAUAUUAAUGGCAUGCCAUUGACAAACACAACCAUCAUCAAAAUUCAUGGUUUUUGAUGAUGUCAUAUCUAGCAAAAAUAAAUGGCCCAAAAUGUUGUAACUAUUUCCCAACCUGCAAAAUGAUAAUUUUUUAAAUUUUGUGAGUUGUAUAAUUAAUUAAGACAUGGAUAACUUGAAAAGUCAAAACCUACUCAUUUGUUAGAGAAAUUGAAAUACUUUUAAUGUCGUCGUUGUUUGAAGCAUGUCUAUAUUUGAUUGCAUAAAUGUCAGUAGCAAUAGAAAUCCAUUACUUUGGACACUAGAUACCUGCAUAAUCCACCCCAAUUAUAUAAUAAAACUUCACAUAAAAAUAUCAUAUCAUUGCAUGACUAAUAAAAGUAUUAAUAAAUCAAAAACCUACCAUAGUGAUUGAAGAUUGACUCCCAAUAUUCAUAACAGGGAUGUGGUGUACAACAUCUAUAGUGCUCGUUUGGUCAUAUUUUAAAUGUUGAAUAACACAAUAAUCAAUCACCACACAAAAAGCCAAGUAAGCAAAUAAAUACAUAUAAUGUUUUCAAUUCCAAACGGUGACCUAAAAACCCUACUUAUUUUAUCGUGGGUUUUUCCUAUCACUUUUGUCGCAUUAGAUUUCUUCAUCUUGCAUAACUUCGUAACUAUUGAUUGCAACCAAAUUGAUCGAGGUCAGCCUUUUCUUGUAACAAUAGUUGGGCUUUGGAUGUGUGCGUUACUUGGCACAAUAGUCCACAUCUUUAACAAAAAAAUCAUCAUACAUUUGAAUUCAUUUUGGACUUCAUCAAAUUUAGCAUGGUUAUAUUCACUUUGGAACUGUCUUUUAAUGGGUGAUUGAGAACCACAAGGUAUUGUCGUAUUCAAGGAUGCAAAGUCAACUUUAUACUCUUUUUCGGCCUUUUGUCAUAAGGCAUUGUCAUAUUGGAUGACAAAUUGUUUAAGUGUGGUACUUGAAUUAAUGAAGCCAUAUUGUAUUGCAUUUUGCAUUGCCUUAUAUUGAUCGGUAAGAUCCCAUAUUGUGCCUUAUUUGACAUGCACCUCAACCACACAUUAAAGAGCCAAACAAAAGUAUUUGUGUCUUCCCUAGAUAGUAAUUUACAUCCUAAUAAAAUUGAUUGACCAUGGUGGUUAAUCCCCACAAACGGUGUGAAGGGCAUGUCAUAUUUGUUUGUCAAAUACGUUGUAUCGAAGGACACAACGUCUUCGAAAUCAUGACAUGCGGAUCAGCUCCUUGCAUCCGCCCAAAAAAUCUUACGUAUACGAUCUUCGGAGUCCAAGUCAAUCUUGUAAUAGAAAAUACUAUUUAGUUCUCUCAUGCAGGAGAAGUGAUUUAGCAAUGCUUGUUCGUCCCCAUUCUUUCCCAAGGCACACCUUAUGACUUCUAAGUAGUUUCUUACGUCACACUCAACAAAGUCCAGGUUCUCAAAAUCGCCUGCAUAAAAAACCAACGAUCGAAAACUCUUAUUGAUACGCACUCUUGCCUCAUCAUUUAUGUCAAGGGUUCUCUUUGCAUGCAUAUUUAUGAUUUUGUUACCUCUAAUUAACCUUGACUUUCCUGGGCUAAUAUCAUGGUUGUGUUCGUGCAUGACAGUUGUAUGCACCAUUUUCCUUCUUUUUUAAGUGUAGUCAUUUGAGUAGGGCAAUUCUUCCUUUGGGUACGAAGUGUCUUCUUCUCUAGAGAGAUUGAGGACACAUAAUUUCCUUCCUGUGAGCAGAAAACUUCAAAUAUUAAAUCUUCCCAUCCAAAUCUUUUUGUAAAGUUCUUAUCCUCACCCAAAAUCCUUUUCGAAUAGCAUAAUCCUUGUAAAAGUUUUUGACCUCGUCCGCUAUUUCGAACGACAUCCUAACAGUGGAGACCAUAAGUUGGUUUAAGUCUCCACCUUCAUUAUUACGGCUAAUGGAUACUAGCGCAUCAGUGGUUGUUUGACAAAGGUCGUCCUCAUACAAAAUAAUCUAAUGUAGUCCUAAUGUGGGUGGCUUCCACGUUUUCCAUAGUCAAACUUCGUGAAAAUGUCAUUCUUGACACAUAACUUUCAUUUGCAUUACGAAAUCAUGAACAAACCAAAUAAACAUCAACUUCUACUACACAUUUAUUGGUAAGAGAACUAUAAAGGCCACGAACCACACAUUACAAAGUAAAAGAAACAUAUCUUUACGCAAGUCUUUAUGGGUGAAGUUAAUAUCUUUAGCAAAACCCAAUGAUUAUGGAACUUUAAAUGAAACAUAAUUUUUUUAGGUAUGUUCUGCAACAAUCAAAGAUGGAGCGGAAGGUAUUAAUUGCUUCAUUUAUGGAAGCAAUGAAUAAUGCACUUACCUCCUUUAUGAAGGACCACAGAGGUUGAAGAGAGUUGGGUGAGAUAAUGAAGGAAGAUGGUGCGAAGUCAUUGUUCAAUAAACAUUGGGAGAUGAAUUGCUCUUCUUAGUUGCAUUGUCGUGCAUUGAGUGACCCAACUGGGGUGGAUGGAACAUCACUCCUUCUUACAAUGCAACAAAACGCGUUUGGGUGAUAUGAAAAUGUGCCCAAGAAGCAAAUAUUAGGGUAAAUUGGUAAAUUGUCCAAAGUAAUUUAAUGUAAUAUAAAUAGGGUUCCACUUCAUUAAAUCUUGAAGUAAAGACAACGUAUCUCACUCUUUACCAUCCAAGAGGUAAACAUGAGUUACUUCAAUUCUCACAAUGUUGUUGUUCGUAUAACUUUGCAAACAUAAAUCAUCUUUUUUUAUUGUGUUCUUUUACAUAAUUUUUUUUGACCAUUGAAAUACAGGUGCUGAAAUGGAACCGUGGAGGGAUUGCAUAUUGAUGGCUCAAAUAUGGAAUCAAUUUUCAGGAAGUGCAACUCAAAUAUCGAUCUUAUUCUUGGUCCAGCUGGGAAUGUCCCAGCAUUUUAUUAAACAGGGAAUAAGAUGAAGCCAAAAACACUCAACAAUUUGUGAAGGAAAUUGUUGAUGCAACAUACGAACAUGACUUCAACUCCAACCCAUGAAAAUGGAUGGAAAUGUUUAUCAAGUGUCACGAUAUAAACACCAAAGAGGUUUGUUUUAAUUUAUAUUUUGAAAUAAAAUAUUUAUUAAACUCCAAUGCAGGUUUGGUUGAUGAUGGUGACAUGAAAUUCCUAAGCAAACUAGAUACCAAACUACAUACUCAAAUGUCGUUGGAUAAGGAUCGGUUAGCUUUUGUGGCAUGCAUUGUGAAGGACUGCAAGCACAACAGAUUGGGUGAUAUGAUAGUCACCAUCAAGGAUCAAUCUAGAAUUGCCAAGGCUGGUAUCCAUAAGAAGGUUCUGCAAGAUGGACAAUUUGGUCCAAACAUUGGUAUUAGCUCAGUGAUGCUGUUACAAGAUGUUUUCAUGUUCAACAUAUGCCCCCCAAUUGAGGAUAUAGUGAAGACAUCUGUCAGUCUACUACGCAACAGACUAGGAGAAGAAGUGAGCAUGGACGACAUCUUGAAAAAACUAAAACCUCCAUUAAAUGAAGUAUCUUCAAGUGAUCCCGACUAUACGUCAAAUGCAACAUCAUCCAAUGAUGAUAAUUGAUAAGCUAUGUUUGUUUCCAUUAUUAAUGUUUUCAUGUAGUACUACGUUUGUUUAUUGUUUUCAUGUUUAGGAUUUGAACUUAUAAUUAAGUGGAAAACACUUAGUUAUAUUGCAAACUAAGUAAGUUAUUUUGAAAAACAUAGUUGCCACAGUUGUGUCCAAAUUCUAUUGGGAGUUCUUUGGUGCAGGGUGAAAUGCCCACUUUCCUUA